UUCUUCUUCUUGUUCUACCUCUACCACUGUUGCAGCAAUGAAGAAGAGGAAGAGAGGAAAUGACUCCCAGUUAAAAAAGGAGGGGCUUAAGAAGAAAAAGGGUUGUCGAAAAUGUAGUAGACAGAAAAUAUUCCAGUUUGGCUCAAUUUCUGGGAGAAGGAUACAUGAGUGGCAAAACCUGGGAUGACACAUGGGAGCCUGCAAACACAUUUGCACAACAACACCACACUGCCACCCCUGAGUCUCCUCCUCCUUCUGGUUCAGUUAGCUGAACCUAACUGGUUGGGCUCUACUCACAGCAGGGGAAAAGAGACAAUCGACAGAAAUGACUGACACUGAGCUCAAAUCAAAUACUGUGCUGCAACACGUGUCUUUUGUGUUUAUUGAAGGAAUGUGUUCAUGGAUCUUGUGUUCUAUGCCAUUCACACAUCAACCAUGUUAAAUGACAUCUGGUAAACAUCAAUCAUUUAUUAAGCUCAACAUGUAAGAAAGUCAUCAUUCUUAUACUUCAAGUACCAGCACACUAGGGCUAUUGAGUGUUUAGGCUUGCUGAACUUCAGUUAAGUGUUGGCACAGUGCAUGUACCCAGUAUAUGUUUGUGUUUCUUCCAGACAGUUGACACACAUUAAAUGUCGGAAACGACAUUCCGGAAAUGUCGGAAACGUGGAUUAAUGAGGAUAAAGGCGCAGAUUUUUACCUGGAUGGAUACAAAUUGGUCAACGUUAACAGAAGACAUAAAGGUGGGGGAGGAGUGGCCCUGUUCAUUAACAAUAACAUUGAGUAUGAGAUUGUACACAAUAUGUCUGAAGCUGUUGAACAUGUAAUGGAAUGUGUGACAAUUGAAAUCUGUGUGACGAAAGGCAGAAAUAUAGUGUUAAGCUGUGUUUAUAGA